ensembl:lncRNA
GAGCCUAGACUGGCGAUUCAUUUCACAUGUGAUAACAUACAUGUUUCAAUGCCAUUCUCCCAAAUCAUCUCGCCCUCACCCUCUCCCACAAGUCCAAAAGACUGUUCGAUACAUCUGUGUCUCUUUUGCUGUCUCACAUACAGGGUUACCAUUACCAUCUUUCUAAAUUCCACAUAUAUGCGUUAGUAUACUGUAUUGGUGUUUUUCUUCCUGGCUUACUUCACUCUGUAUAAUCGGCUCCUGCACUCCUCUUCUAUGCUACAUCAAAAUUCCAGUUUUUGGAAAAUAAGGUGGAAUGUCUUUUUUAGACCAACUUUUUCCUCAGGCCGAAUUGUUUUCCUCUCAACUUCUCAACCAAAUUAUUUUCUAUCAAAUUGCUUUUUUCUUUUUGGCCAAGUCAUCUGGAGUGUUCUAAAACUCAGGCAAUUUCCACGGCUCUCAUCGCGCUGCCUUCAUUGCGCUUUGAUGGUGAGAAAGUCCUUAACAUGUAGGAGAAACCUCACUCCGUGUCUCACCAUCUGCCCUUGGGGCACAUGACUUUGGAGACUGUUGUCUGCUUCAGCUCUGAAUUAGAAGUUCGUCUCUUACUCACUCACCCAUCCAUCCAUCCAUCUAUCCAUUUGUCCAUCCAUCCAUCCCUUCAUCCAGCCAUUCAAGCAUCCAUCCAUCCAGUGUGCUGGGCACUGGCCUAGGACAGAGCCACGGAGGAGAGUCAAGCCUCUGCUUUUGCAUGGCUGCAUUUGAAUACCAGACAGACAGAAAAAUGACUUGUUCUGUGGUGAUAAAGAGAAAUGAAUCAGGAUGGGUGGAUGGUAGAUUGAACUGAUGGGGGAUAUGCAGUUUUAUGCCAAGGGGGUCAAGGAGUUCUCGUGAGUCAGCUGAUGUUUGUGCAGAGACCUGAGUGAAGGAAGGUGGCCAGGCUAGCCUUCUAGGCAGAGGCCCAGACCCCCAGGCCAGGGCAGGUGAAACAAAAUGAGUGAGGAGUAGGAUGGUAGGAUCUGAGCUCAGGGAGGGUUGUUGUUCAGUUGCUCAGUCGUGUCCAACUCUUUGCGACUCCAUGAGGGUCUUUUUGAAUGAGUUGGCUCUUUGCAUCAGGUGGCCAAAGGAUUGGAGCUUCAGCUUCAGCAUCAGUCUUUCCAAUGAAUAUUUAGGGUUGCUUUCCCUUAGGAUUGACUGGUGCAAUCUCCUUGCUGUCUAAGGGGCUCUCAAGAGUCUUCUCUAGCACCACAGUUGGAAAACAUCAAUUCUUUGGCUCUCAGGCUUCUUUAUGAUCCAACCAUAAGGAUUCUGUCAUAUACUCUCACAUCCAUAUAUGACUACUAGAAAAACCAUAGCUUUGACUAUAUGGACUUCUGAAAUCGGCAAAGAGACGUCAGGGAGGGUGGCCAGGACCAGGUCAGGCAGGGACUCAGAUGGGACUCAGAUGAGACUCGGAUGUGUUGCUGCGCCAGGUGGAGUUCAGCAAGGGGGUUUGGGCCAUUAAGGAAGUUUUGCUGGGCCCCGUGCUGUCUUGAGCUGUUAGCCCCCAUUUUGGGGGCCCCUACUUGCUCUGGUUUCCCCUAUGGGCCUCUUUAUGAGACCCGAGAGCUUUGCUCUGUGGUAGCCCUUUCACAGGAGAAGGCAAUGGCAAUCCACUCCA